rnacentral:rRNA from 1 species
UGGGGAAUAUUGCACAAUGGGCGCAAGCCUGAUGCAGCCAUGCCGCGUGUGUGAAGAAGGCCUUCGGGUUGUAAAGCACUUUCAGCGAGGAGGAAGGGUAGUGUGUUAAUAGCACAUUGAAUUGACGUUACUCGCAGAAGAAGCACCGGCUAACUCCGUGCCAGCAGCCGCGGUAAAACGGAGGGUGCAAGCGUUAAUCGGAAUUACUGGGCGUAAAGCGCACGCAGGCGGUUUGUUAAGUCAGAUGUGAAAUCCCCGCGCUUAACGUGGGAACUGCAUUUGAAACUGGCAAGCUAGAGUCUUGUAGAGGGGGGUAGAAUUCCAGGUGUAGCGGUGAAAUGCGUAGAGAUCUGGAGGAAUACCGGUGGCGAAGGCGGCCCCCUGGACAAAGACUGACGCUCAGGUGCGAAAGCGUGGGGAGCAAACA